AAAUUUUUGUAGGGUGAUCUAUUUUUCAAAACAGUUAUAUCAUCCACACUGUACACAUUUCAAAAACAAAAGGGUAUAUUAAAAUAUACAGCAGGUCUCUUUUGUAGCCUAUCUUUUAGUUUUCCAGUGUGCUCCCCAACCCCACCCCAAACCUCUAUUAUCAAUUUCUCUUAUUUUCUUCUGUAGAUGACCGACCCAUUAACUAGAAAUAUGUGUGUAUACAAAGCUUCCAGUCUCCUUUGUCAACACUCUUUUUCUUCCCCUACAAAAUGGCAGCCCAUUGUGUAUCCUGUUUUGCACUUUUCUCUUUUCAUUUAACAAUAUUACUUUGAUAUAAUUCCAUAUACAGUGCCCUGGAAAUUUAACAUUAUAAUUAUUCAUAUUGCCACAUACUCUUUAUAAUCAUCGUCCUUAAUGGCUGCAAAAUGUUGAGUAAAUGAUUCAUUCAUUAAAAAAAUAUUUAUCAAGCACCUGCCACAUAAGCAAGGCGCUAGUGAUUCUAAAAUUAAAAGGAGAUGGACCACACCCUUGAAGGAGUCACAGCAGAGUGGAGCAGACAGGCAGGGAAACAAGUAAUUACAGGUAGUCUCCUAGUGCAAAAUGGAAGAAUGUAGGAAGUGUUGAGGGAACAAAAGAAAGAACCUUGCAAAUGCUGGAUGGGUGAAAUAAGUGAAAGGGAUUAAAUGCACACUUACGGUGAUGAGUACUGAGCAAGGCAUAGAAUUGUUGAAUCCCUAUGGUGUACCCCUGAAACUAAUAUAACAGUGCAUGUUAACCACACUGGAGCUAAAAAGUGUUGAUGAUAAGUAGGAGGAGUCAGCUUGCAGACAAAGGGCAAGGAGAGUGUUUUAGGCAGAGGCAAGAAUGACAUGGGCACAGGCAAAAAACAUGAAGUAACAUUAUGGUCCAGGUUCAGGUGGCUACAAGGACACGGCCAUAGUCCCUACCCCAGGAUCUUUAAGCUGUGGCCAAAUCUUCAAUAUAAAUAAUGCCAUGAUGUACAAAUUGCAGUAUAUAACUUUCCCCAUAUUUUGGAGUAUUUCUUUGGCUAGAUUCCCAGAAGUGUGACUGCUGAGUCAAAGUGUAGGCACUCCCUGACCUGGGACACACAGCCAAAAUGCCUUCCAAAUGCAUGAUAUCCCUUCACAAGGACCAGCAACGAAUGAGGAAACCAGUGCUCAUUAUCUUAAUACCUUUGUAAUUAUUUAAAAAAAAAAAUUGUUUAUUUAUUUAUUUAAUCAUUCAUUCUUUUUAAGUAGGCUGCACACCCAACGUGGGGUUCAAACUCAUGAGUCUGAGGUCAAGAGUUGCAUGCUUCACCUGACUGAGCCAGCCAGAGGCCCCCUAUCAUUAAUUUGUUUUAAUGUUUAUUUCUAUUACUGGUAAGGUUGAUUUUCACCGUAUAUUUAUUACUAUUCAUAUUUGUUUGUAUAUAGUUUGUUUUCUGUUUAUACUCAAUCAUUGAGAUUUCACAUUUAGCUUCAGCUAUAUGAGCCCUACUUACAGACAUUCAGACUUUUUUUCAUGUCUGCUGUCAAUAUUCUUUCCCUGGUUUAGGUUGCCUUUUAAAACAAUGCUUGAUGCAUUUUAAGAUACUACCCAGUCAUAUCCACAUCAUUUUCUUCUUUUGCUUCUUAGGUGAGAAAUACUUCUAGCUAGAGGUUAAACAAAUACUCUGUUUUCUUCUGGUUUGCUUUACAAAUGUACUUAAACUUACUUUUGACAUAGGAAAUGAGAAUUCAACUAGUCUUCCCGAUUACUGAUGAGUUAUCUGAACUUUCCCUUCUUUGUUUUUAUUUCAAAGAUAAAUCCUGCUUAGGGAUCAACUCAACUUAGAUCCAAUUGGAUCUAAUUUCCAGUCCUUUUCUGAAUUGUGUUAGCUCUACUUAAGAAAGACCUUUCCUCUGACUUAUUCAGGAAUCUACAGGAACUGUUCUAUUUAUAUAUAUAGAAAGAGUUACAAUAUCGCAGGAAUAGGUCUAGGUAAAGCUUCUCAGUGCCUUCCUGUUAGAAGGGAAUCUGCUGUUGAAGGCAGACCUUACCUUUGAAGCUUAGCCUACCUGGUUAGUAUGCUGUGUGUUUUCCGUAGGUGGAGGGCACUUAUGAGGGAGAGAGGGUUCUAUCAUCCAAAGGGCUGAAGUCACUGUGUUAGCUAGUAUCAUAGUUCUGUGGUACUGAAUAGAUAGGAUCUCCUGAUCCUCUCACGUUUGUGGGUCCCCUGUGACCUCAAUAUACCCUCAAUCCCUCUCAAGGCCAAGCUUAUCUCAAAGGAUGGUUUAUUGCAAGAAAAAGCAACUUCUUGGUCCUCCAAAGCUGGAUUACAGGUUGUCAACUAGCUAUCCUAUUUUUGAGAAAAGUGAUAGGCAGUUAACCAGAGAAACCCUAUGCAAAAGGUUCUCAAACAUAAGCCCACUAAGUAUCACAUGGGGAGUUUAGGAAACACGCAGAUUUCUGCGUGCAGUACCAGGUUACAUGGGUGGUGCUGGAAAUCUUUCCUGAUUUCAUCUCUCCUUCUAAUUCUGUGAAGCUUGG